UACAGAGGAUGCAAGCGUUAUCCGGAAUGAUUGGGCGUAAAGCGUCUGUAGGUGGCUUUUUAAGUCCGCCGUCAAAUCCCAGGGCUCAACUCUGGACAGGCGGUGGAAACUACCAAGCUGGAGUACGGUAGGGGCAGAGGGAAUUUCCGGUGGAGCGGUGAAAUGCGUAGAGAUCGGGAAGAACACCGGCGGCGAAGGCGCUCUGCUGGGCCGACACUGACACUGAGAGACGAAAGCUAGGGGAGCGAAUGGG
rnacentral:rRNA from 1 species